rnacentral:rRNA from 1 species
UACGGAGGGUGCAAGCGUUGUCCGGAAUCAUUGGGCGUAAAGCGCGUGUAGGCGGUCCGGUAAGUCCGCUGUGAAAGUCGGGGGCUCAACCCUCGGAUGCCGGUGGAUACUGUCGGGCUUGAGUACGGAAGAGGCGAGUGGAAUUCCUGGUGUAGCGGUGAAAUGCGCAGAUAUCAGGAGGAACACCAAUGGCGAAGGCAGCACUCUGGGACGGUACUGACGCUGAGACGCGAAAGCGUGGGGAGCGAACAGG